rnacentral:misc_RNA from 1 species
AUUGAUAAGAAACGAAGCGCAACUUAUGAGUCUUAUGAGUUAACUCGAUCCCAAGACGUUAGUCGUAGGGCUGGCAGAGGCGACAUACUGAUGCAGUACGCACGCGCACGCACGCAAGCACACGCACGCGCACUCACUCACGCUCACUUGCAGACAGGCAUACAUCACCAAUCAUCAGCACUACUACUUUAGACGUCGGGGUAUAAAAAACAGUGUAUAAAUAUAUUAUUUAUUAUUAUACACAAUGACAUUGAUGUACACACGUACUUACACACA